CUUCGUGUCUACAGCUCACUUUUGGAUGCAGUUCAUCUACAACCAGCACACAUGCUUUGAAAAAAAUUGUCCAAGAUCAGAGUGAACAAGUUUGAUCAGACUCUGAAGAAUUAGCAUCAUCCAACAGUGAGGAGCUGAGAUUGAGAAGAACGCUACAGGAACAGGAGCCUAAAAACCUAGCUAGAGACAUGGAUGAUCGAUCAGAUAGGUUGGCGUGUGAUCUCAUCCAUAUCUGCAAAUCCCCAAUCUGCUCAUAUCGCCAUCUAUCCGGGUGUGGAGUGGAUAUGGAGUUGAAAUGAGAACUGACACUUGGGUUGAGAGAGGAGAGGAGAGGCGUCUCUCUGCAUGAAUGCAUGGCCGUCAGACAGUGCAGUACGCCGGUGUGGGUGUGGCGAUGGAUACAUACCGGAAGGCAACGUCUCGGCAACGACCAAAACGUCGCCGUUGAGAUUAUCAUGCAAGACAAAAGGGGAAAUUUGAGGAACAUUGAGAUGAUAAGGUUUUUGUGUUCAUCAUUGGGGGUAUACUGUUUUCUUCUGAGGAACACUCAUGUUCGAUCUGCAUGAACAAGAACUAUUAGAUUCGUGCAAAAUGACAGGGACAACUAGAGACUAGAGUUUAGGCUGUUUGUAGGGGAUGAUGAAGAACUGACGCAGAGGAGAAUAUCAGGGUGAAAUGCAGAGAGAUGGGAGUGUGUUUUGUGGAGGAAAAUAACUCUUCCAAGAUUCCAGAAUUCCAUAGUUCAGUAUCAGUAAGAAAAAUGAAAAUUCACAGGUUACAGUAUGCAGCUAGCACAGUGAUGUGAACUUUGAAAAAUAUAAGUUGCAUAAAUAAUGCAGACAAGUUCGUGAAGAUUCUUCAUAAAGAUCAGAGGUACAUGUAUGUCACACGGACGUAUUCAGCGGGAUUUUGGUGAGAUCAUGGAUUCAUCGCUGGCAUUUAUCUCUUAAACAUAUAUGCAAGGGACACAUACAAAUGUGUUUUCGUGGUAAUGCAUGCGGGUACACACAAGAACAUGUAUACUAGUGGUUAUAUUGACUUGAGUAACACCCAAUAUAUUAAAGUUUGAAUCAAACUUUAGAAUAAAUGG